rnacentral:rRNA from 1 species
CAGCCGCCACGGUAACACGGAGGGUGCAAGCGUUAUCCGGAUUUAUUGGGUUUAAAGGGUCCGUAGGCGGACUUAUAAGUCAGUGGUGAAAGCCUGUCGCUUAACGAUAGAACUGCCAUUGAUACUGUAAGUCUUGAGUAUAUUUGAGGUAGCUGGAAUAAGUAGUGUAGCGGUGAAAUGCAUAGAUAUUACUUAGAACACCAAUUGCGAAGGCAGGUUACCAAGAUAUAACUGACGCUGAGGGACGAAAGCGUGGGUAGCGAACAGGAUUAGAUACCCGGGUAGUCCCUGUCUCUUAUAC